rnacentral:rRNA from 1 species
UACGGGGGGGGCAAGCGUUGUUCGGAAUUACUGGGCGUAAAGGGCUCGUAGGCGGCCAACUAAGUCAGACGUGAAAUCCCUCGGCUUAACCGGGGAACUGCGUCUGAUACUGGAUGGCUUGAGGUUGGGAGAGGGAUGCGGAAUUCCAGGUGUAGCGGUGGAAUGCGCAGAUAUCAGGAAGAACACCCGUGGCGAAGGCGGCUCUCUGGAACGCAACUGACGCUGAGACGCGAAAGCGUGGGGAGCAAACAGG